CCUACGGGAGGCAGCAGUGGGGAAUACUGCACAAUGGGGGAAACCCUGAUGCAGCGACGCCGCGUGAGUGAAGAAGUAUUUCGGUAUGUAAAGCUCUAUCAGCAGGGAAGAAAUAGCGACCUUUGGGUCGCCAGACGGUACCUGAUUAAGAAGCCCCGGCUAACUACUUGCCAGCAGCCGCGGGCAUACGUAGGGGGCAAGCGUUAUCCGGAUUUACUGGGUGUAAAGGGAGCGUAGAAGGCAGCGCAAGUCUGAAGUGAAAUGCCGGGGCUUAACCCCGGAACUGCUUGGGAAACUGUGCAGCUAGAGUGUAGGAGAGGUAAGUGGAAUUCCUAGUGUAGCGGUGAAAUGCGUAGAUAUUAGGAGGAACACCAGUGGCGAAGGCGGCUUACUGGAUUGUAACUGACGUUGAGGCUCGAAAGCGUGGGGAGCAAACAGGAUUAGAUACCCUUGUAGUC
rnacentral:rRNA from 1 species